ACGUAGGUCACAAGCGUUGUCCGGAAUUACUGGGUGUAAAGGGAGCGCAGGCGGGAAGACAAGUUGGAAGUGAAAUCUAUGGGCUCAACCCAUAAACUGCUUUCAAAACUGUUUUUCUUGAGUAGUGCAGAGGUAGGCGGAAUUCCCGGUGUAGCGGUGGAAUGCGUAGAUAUCGGGAGGAACACCAGUGGCGAAGGCGGCCUGCUGGGCACCAACUGACGCUGAGGCUCGAAAGUGUGGGUAGCAAACAG
rnacentral:rRNA from 1 species